rnacentral:rRNA from 1 species
GGGGGGGGGGGGGGGGGGGGGGGGGGGGGGGGGGGCGGGGGGGGGGGCCCGGGUGUGGGGGGGGGGGCGAGUGGCGAACGGGGGGGGAACACGUGGGUAACCUGCCCUGGACUUGGGGAUAACUUCCGGAAACUGGGGCUAAUACCGGAUAGGAGCUCCUGCUGCAUGUUGGGGGUUGGAAAGUUUCGGCGGUUGGGGAUGGACUCGCGGCUUAUCAGCUUGUUGGUGGGGUAGUGGCUUACCAAGGCUUUGACGGGUAGCCGGCCUGAGAGGGUGACCGGCCACAUUGGGACUGAGAUACGGCCCAGACUCCUACGGGAGGCAGCAGUGGGGAAUAUUGCACAAUGGGCGGAAGCCUGAUGCAGCAACGCCGCGUGCGGGAUGACGGCCUUCGGGUUGUAAACCGCUUUCGCCUGUGACGAAGCGUGAGUGACGGUAAUGGGUAAAGAAGCACCGGCUAACUACGUG